GGAGUUGUGCUAUUAAUCACUGUAGCUAUGACUCAAGCCCAGCCUGAUGAUGGAUGGGGUGGUGGUGGUGGAGGCGGUUAUGGGCCGAGGCGACGGUAGGACACCAAGGUUGUAAGUGUGUUUCACGCAAUCUCAACUGCCAAUAAAGACCGCGUACUAACUGGUAACCAGGCAAAACUGUUGCGAGAAGCCAAAAACUGAAGAACCUGCCGCCGAAUGCCAAGAUUAAUGAGACACAAUGAUUGACAGAAUGUUAACUGAUUUAAAAUAUGCAAAUGUUUUAAUUUUCCAAGAACUAAUUUUCGAACUCAAAAAUUUCAAU